AAUCAACGCUGGCGGCGUGCCUAACACAUGCAAGUCGAACGCGAAAGGGGCGCAAGCCCUGAGUAGAGUGGCAAACGGGUGAGUAACACGUGGGUGACCUGCCUUCGAGUGGGGGAUAACGUCCCGAAAGGGACGCUAAUACCGCAUAACAUCCUGCCCUUGGACGGGUGGAGAUCAAAGCUGGGGAUCGCAAGACCUGGCGCUUAGAGAGGGGCCCGCGCCUGAUUAGCAGUUGGUGGGGUAACGGCCU
rnacentral:rRNA from 1 species